UCCUAAGCAAGAUUCCAAAAUGGCCUUCCC
rnacentral:piRNA from 1 species